rnacentral:lncRNA from 1 species
CAAAUAUUGAUAAAUUUAUGCAGAGUGAUGUAGAGAUGUCCAAAAUUAUGUCACCCCCAAACGUAGUUAAUACAUGGUCCUCAAUGAAUAAUUAACAAUGGUUAAAAGACAUAAUUGAAGGACAGUUUUAUAAAAAUCAAAAGUGGUAGACAAUACUCCCUUGAUCAAUAUGUAGGUGGUGGUGAGAAGAUGUUUCCUACCGUACCAUCAUCUGGAGGUGGAGGUAUUCGCGCUAAAAUCUCUCUCAUCAUUGCUGACUGCUGCACCAUCUCCUUUUGAAGUCCGCCAACACGUGUCUCCAUUCGGCCCAGACGUUCCCAAGUCUCAUUCACUCGCAACUCGAUGCUGUCCACCCGGCCCACGUACAUACUCAGUCGACCAUUCAUAGUUUCGAUCUCCCUCCUGGCUACAUCAGAAUCCAGGUGAGCGACUCGUACCAUAUCAGUGGCGAUGUAGAUGUCACCUCGGGCUGUCUGCAUAUCAGUAGUCAAAGCCCCUAUAGCCUGCUGGAGACCCUGUAUGUCGCGGUUGGUUCCCGUGGUGGCAAAUAUCUGAUGUCACAAUUGUGUAUCCACUUCAAUCUGUGGUGGUGAAACUUGUGGCAUCUGUUGAUCUGCAGGCACCUGACCCUACUCUUCCUGAUGCCUGCGGCGCUCAUUCUCUUGCUUUUCCUUGUGCUUUAUCCUGGGUUUGUCUUGAGCUUCCAGUGUACUGCGCUUUACAAGAAGGCUGGGUUUUGCAAGUGCCUCCCUUGGUGCGAUAUUGACUCCAGCAAUCAUGUAUAUGCCGGAUAUGAGGAUAGGAAAAAUCAUUGAACUGUGCCCGUCUCCCAGAGUACCCACAUGAUGGAUCUGAUUAUAGCAGAGAGUGGCGAGAUCGACCUUAUUUUCUCGCACCAAGUGAUAGAUGAACCUGGCUGUGGGAUUUGUAAAUGUGGUCCUAUGCGAGGUCGGUUCAAUGUUAUGGCACAUAAACAACCACAAGAUGGUUAUAGACGGUGUCAGCUCAAUCUAGUGCCAUGCAGUGGUAGGAAGUGGCCAUGCAUUUUGUCGCCCCAAUAGGAUCUCUGCCACUUCAUUCCAAUUGAAAUCGCUCGGGAUGGAGGUUAUGUUGUCCCACGUGAGCUGAUAGUAGUCAUGAAUAACCUCUGGUGAGAACAUAAUCCACUGGCACCUGACCUAUGUCUGCUGCAAGUGGUCGGACCUUGGUGUGUCAAUCUCUACAUUGAAAUUUGCGUAGAAUUCUCUCACCAGUGAUUCAUAGAUCUGAUGUGGCUAGUCUACUACCUUUGCCCACCCACAGUUAUCCACCAAAGUGAUCAACUCAAAACCUGGAAAAUCCUCUAAUUUU